UUGGCGAACGGGUGAGUAAUACGUGAGUGACCUACCUUUGACUCUGGGAUAAGCCUGGGAAACUGGGUCUAAUACCGGAUACGACCAAUCUCCGCAUGGGGUGUUGGUGGAAAGCGUUAUGGAGUGGUUUUAGAUGGGCUCACGGCCUAUCAGCUUGUUGGUGAGGUAAUGGCUUACCAAGGCGACGACGGGUAGCCGGCCUGAGAGGGUGACCGGCCACACUGGGACUGAGACACGGCCCAG
rnacentral:rRNA from 1 species